UAAUACGUAGGUGGCAAGCGUUGUCCGGAUUUACUGGGUGUAAAGGGCGCGUAGGCGGGAUGGCAAGUCAGAUGUGAAAAUUAUGGGCUCAACCCAUAACCUGCAUUUGAAACUGCUGUUCUUGAGUAUCGGAGAGGCAGGCGGAAUUCCUAGUGUAGCGGUGAAAUGCGUAGAUAUUAGGAGGAACACCAGUGGCGAAGGCGGCCUGCUGGACGACAACUGACGCUGAUGCGCGAAAGCGUGGGGAGCAAACAGG
rnacentral:rRNA from 1 species